UUCCCCAUUAUAUUGUGCUGUGUGUUAAUUGCUGUUCUUUUUUUAUUCUACCAAAGUGUCCAGCAUAUUAGAGGUGCUCAAAAGGUUUACCGAAGAAUCCUCUAUAGAAGUUGUUUUGACAUCUUCUAAAAGUAAUUCUAGAAACCUCAUCUAGGAGGAACAGGGAAUAUCAUUUGUGAGGAAAAAUUCAGAAAGCAAUUUCAAGGCUCUUGUAAUGCAUGAAAACCAGGAUAGGCCUUAAAUGUGCUGAAUACCGGGACAAAAGUACAGAUAGGAACUCACGUGUCGAAGGUCCAGGGGUACAUGUGCAGGCUUGUUAUACAGACUUGCUGUUCAUUACUGUGGGAGGAUGAACACUCUGCAUCUAUUCCUGAGGUCACCAACCAGCAAAUACAUCUCCAUUUGGCAAGUGGGAUAGAGGUGGAAUCCCCCACCUGCUGGCCAGUGAAAAUCUGAGUCAAAAAUAAUAGUUUCCAAGGCCAAGGGUUAAAGGCUUCAAGAGUGAAAGACUUCUUGAGUCAGUAGUAACAGAACUCAACGCUUCCUGAAGAAACCACAAAGUCACUUAAGUUUACUAUUAUUGUUGUUGUUUUGGUUGCUGUUUUGUUUUGCUGUUAUUACUAACAAAAAACACAUAUGAGAGGUUUUAAAAAAGGACUGCUUCCCAUGGAUUCCUCUCUUACUUUUUUC